rnacentral:misc_RNA from 1 species
AAAUUAUUUAACAAGGGUACAAUACACAAAACUGCAUCUAAUUGAAUUCAUUGCCCAGUUCUAAUUCACAUACAACCAUUUUCAACAAAAGUUAUCAACUCUAGCACAAGACAGCAAUCGUUCUCAUGAGUUCAACUCAACAAAAAGGCUGGCCUGAGGGUGUAAUCCAGCAUCUUUCAACGACAGAGCGAGCUUCUCUGAGCCAUAGACUGUACGAGGGAAGUUGGACACGAGACUGUACUUUUCAACCUCUAGGCAUCCAAGAGAAUCAACAUAGUCAUACAGAGAUUGUAUAGUUGUACUACAUUGAAAUCUUCUCUCUUUGCGCUCACCAGUAGGAAACCUUACCAAAACUUGAGUAACAUCGGGACCCUUUGCAGGUUCAGGGCCCAGUGACUGUAAUUUCUCCUCGCGCAUUUUAGCCAAUGCAGCUUCUCUUUCAGCAGCUUCACGAGCUGCUCUUUCACGAGCCUCUUCUUCCUCCUUUCUUUUCCUUUCAGCUUCAGCAGCUUCCCUCUCCAGCCUCUCUUGCUCUUCUAUCCUCUGGCGCUCUCUAGCUUGAUCAGCUUCUAGUGCAGCACGAUAAGCAGCAUCUUGCUCCUCCCUCAAACGUAUAUUGUUUCUUCUUUCUUCUGCCUCAACCCUGGCUGUGACAAGCACGGGGGCACUUUCCUCGAUUACUCUUUGCAGUACUGUAAGCAAUUCUUCGGGAGAUUUUGGCCCUUCUGCCUGCUGAAGCAGAGCAAUCCUCUGGUUUGUUGCAGCCAUUACAACAGCACAAAAGGGAAACCUUGACGCCUUCAAGCUAUUACUCAUCUUAAAACCUUCACUAGCUCUAAUACUCCCACCCCAAGCAACAAAGUUCUCAUUAAUAAACGCCACCAAAUCCUCAUUACAUAGCGUCCUCUCACAAAACACAGGCGUAUCUGGAUGAUCCGGCGAAUGCAAAUAAACAAACAGUACCUUAUACUCAUUCCUAGACCUCUGCAAUGCAUCCAUAAAACCUUCAGCAACAAAAUUCGGCCUUAUACUACCAAAAUCCCUCUCGAAGCACGCAACAAAAUCCAUAGCUUCUGAUACCGCUGCAGAUACCGACAACAAACGUGUCGACGACGACGACUCACCAUUCCGUCCCGAAUUCAGCCCAAUCAUACCUAACCCAUACGAUAGAACACCACUAACCGCCCACACGCCAAAUCCAACCGCACCUGAAACUAACCCUAAACUACCUGAAAUAAUUGAAAACGGCAACGUAACAAUCUUCCAAGCAAGCCCCGGCGGACCACCAGCAGCACCAACAAGUCCGGUUUCUACUUGUUCAGGAUUCGUGCUAGAAGUAGUAGCUUCAGAUGCAUCUGCAUCAGCAGCAGCACGAGGAUUGGAAGUGAAAUUUGAUAACGCUAAUUCGAGAUCCCAAUUAUGUGCAGUGAGAAUCUCCGCACACAAAUCGGGAUCAUCAAGUCCAGUAAUCGCUUGAAAAUAAGCAACUUUAUCAGCUACAUCGCCCAUUUCUGAUCUCUCCUGCUCCAAAUUCUUCCGAUUAUGCUUACAAUUUCUG